CUUUCUCAAGCACCUGCAGGGUGAGGACUGGUAGGUAGACUGUAUCAACAAUCCAGCCCAGCCUCCGAGCUACCAGCCCAUGGAGGAGGACAGAUGUAAUUAAGGUUCCAAAUCAGUUGGCCUUAAGAUGGGGAGAUGCUUGUAUGCUCGAUCUCUGGGUCUAGAAGUGAGAAACCUGGAAGCCAGAGAAACGUGAAGUAUGAGACAGGCUGAAUGUGAGGAAAAUGGCAGGAGCCAUGCGGCCUUUGAUGUGGGUGGCCUCUAGGAGUUGAGAGCAGCCUCACUGACAGCCAACAAGGAAAGAGGGGCCUUGGUCUGCAAACAGCAAGAAACUGGAUUCUGCCAACCACCUGAAAGAACUUGGAAACAGACUCUUUCCUAGAGCCUCCUGUGAUCUUCUUCUCAAAACAUAGAACCCCAGUCCAACCAGAGAGUAUCAGACAAACCAACACUGAGGAAUGUUCUACAAAAUACCUGACCAGUGUUUCUCAAAACCCUCAAAGUCAGCAAAAACAAGGACAACCUGAGAAUCUAUUGCAGUUAGGGAAAGAUGAUGGCUAAAUUUAAUAGGUUAAACUGGAUGGAUCCUGGAACAGAAAAGGGGAAUUAGCAACAAACUACUGACAUCCAAAUAAACAAUAGAGUUCAGUUAAUAGUGUGCAAACAUUGGUCCCUUGGUUAUAAUAAAUGUACGGUAGUAAGGUAAGAUGUUAACAAUGGAGGGAACUGGGUCUAUGCAACUUUCUGUAAAUCUAAAACUAUUCUAAAAUAAAAGAUUUAUUUAAAAA
rnacentral:lncRNA from 1 species